GAUCGGCCCGCGUCUGAUUAGCUAGAUGGUGAGGUAAUGGCUCACCAUGGCGACAAUCGGUAGCUGGUUUGAGAGGAUGAUCAGCCACACUGGGACUGAGAUACGGCCCAGACUCCUACGGGAGGCAGCAGUGGGGAAUAUUGGACAAUGGGGGCAACCCUGAUCCAGCAAUGCCGCGUGAGUGAUGAAGGCCUUAGGGUUGUAAAGCUCUUUUGGCGGGGACGAUGAUGACGGUACCCGCAAAAUAAGCCCCGGCUAACUUCGUGCCAGCAGCCGCGGUAAUACGAAGGGGGCGAGCGUUGUUCGGAAUUACUGGGCGUAAAGGGCGCGUAGGCGGCCGAUCAAGUCAGAUGUGAAAGUCCUGGGCUUAACCUGGGGACUGCAUUUGAUACUGAUUGGCUUGAAUGCAGGAGAGGAUAGCGGAAUUCCCAGUGUAAAGGUGAAAUUCGUAGAUAUUGGGGAAAACACCGGGUGGCAAGGCGGCUAUCUGGACUGUGAUUGACCCUGAAGCGCGAAAACGUGUGGAGCAAAACGGAUUAGAAUCCCUGGGUUAGCCCCCCCCCUAAAACAAGAAAUGCUUAAACCCCUGGGGACCAUGCUUCUCUGGUGGUCCCCUCUAAACCCUUUUAACCCUUUCCCC
rnacentral:rRNA from 1 species